rnacentral:lncRNA from 1 species
GUCUGUUUAUUUAGGUAACACUCUAUGUACUACCGAUAUGAUUUAUCAUAUAUCAGCUGGAACAUUGACAAACACAAAUAUUUCAAAUUAAUAACUAAUGUACUGUGUAAUUUGUCAGUGGACUGUUAAACAAUUUAGUGAGAGAUAUUUGUUGUUUUAAUGAAGUUUCUGUGUGAUGUAUUUAUGCUUUUAGACCACCAGAAAUGAAAUACAAUAUGAAAUCAACGACACAAGACAUUAAGAUUAUGGCGUGAAGUAGGUUACACUGCACUUAAAAUACCAUUGAAAAUAUAGACUAUUUGUUCUCAAAAGAUGAUUACACGGGAAAUAGAAUAUUCGCAAACAAUAACGGGUAAUAAACUUGAUAGUUUUUAAGACCAGUUGUUACUUUCAAAUUUUUUUAUUACGAAUUUGGUCAUAGUAAAACUUCGAAACUACACGUAUCAUAAAAUACUGAACUUUCAAUAGUAUUUUUAAGCGUGGUGUAAUGACCAAACAGCUGCUGAAUACCGACCCUUUUCAUCAAAUAAAACCAUUUGUUUAUGACUACCAAUGAAUGCUUUAGGCAUUAUUUUAAAUUGCGUGCAGUAGUUUGUGAGAUAUUGAUAAAUAUCAUAAUUAUUAUCUCUUUACAGAUUUUCAACGGUCAAUCGGUCAACAAUAUUCACAUAUCAUAAUUACACAAAAUAAUUUGUAAUAUUGCAAUUUUACCUAAUGCAAUGUUGCAAUUAAAUCUAAAUAUAGGAAUAACCGUAUGGAUGUCUCAUUUGGAGUUAAUGUUAAUG